rnacentral:rRNA from 1 species
CCUACGGGAGGCAGCAGUGGGGAAUAUUGGACAAUGGGGGAAACCCUGAUCCAGCGACGCCGCGUGAGUUAAGAAGUAUUUCUGUACGUAAAGCUCUAUCAGCAGGAAAGAAAAUGACGGUACCUGACUAAGAAGCCCCGGCUAACUACGUGCCAGCAGCCGCCGUAAAACGUAGGGGGCAAGCGUUAUCCGGAUUUACUGGGUGUAAAGGGAGCGUAGACGGCAGCGCAAGUCUGGAGUGAAAUGCCGGGGCGCAACCCCGGAACUGCUCUGGAAACUGUGAAGCUGGAGUGCAGGAGAGGUAAGCGGAAUUCCUGGUGUAGCGGUGAAAUGCGUAGAUAUCAGGAGGAACACCGGCGGCGAAGGCGGCUUACUGGACUGUAACUGACGUUGAGGCUCGAAGGCGUGGGGAGCAAACAGGAUUAGAUACCCGGGUAGUC